rnacentral:rRNA from 1 species
AUUGAACGCUGGCGGCAGGCCUAACACAUGCAAGUCGAACGAGUGGCGGACGGGUGAGUAAUGUCUGGGAAACUGCCUGAUGGAGGGGGAUAACUACUGGAAACGGUAGCUAAUACCGCAUACCAUCGGAUGUGCCCAGGUGGGAUUAGCUAGCAGGUGGGGUAAAGGCUCACCUAGGCGACGAUGCAUCGCUGGUCGGAGAGGAUGACCAGCCACACUGGAACUGAGACACGGUCCAGACUCCUACGGGAGGCAGCAGUGGGGAAUAUUGGGCAAUGGGCGCAAGCCUGAUGGAGCCAUGCCGCGUGUAUGAAGAAGGCCUUCGGGUUGUAAAGUACUUUCAGCGGGGAGGCGUUACCCGCACAAGAAGCACCGGCUAACUCCGUGCCAGCAGCCGCGGUAAUUC